rnacentral:lncRNA from 1 species
ACAAAUGAAAACAAGCAGAGAAUUGCAAGUGCCUGAAGACUCCAUGUAGCUGGACAUGUGCUUAUAUUGUAUGAGACAUUAAAGGGGGAAGAGAUGGUAAAAAGACUGAAGCUUCUCUUCUAUAAGGCCUAGUUUGUAUAAGAGGGCAAAAAAUUUCACUAGUCUGUACCAUUGUAGGUUACAAGGAAGGGAUUGCUUGAGAAAGUGACUCUCUAAUUGAGAGGGGGAAACCCCUACAAACACAAAAGGAGCGUAGCCUCCAAAAGCCUAGGCUUAUGACCCACACCUUCUUUUUCUAUGUCCAGGGACUUCUUGUUUUAAACCAGAGGUUCUUAACCUUGGGAAAGAAGUUGUCAAGCCAGCCAUUCGGGAUCUCUGAUGGGCAAAAAACAGACAGUUCUAAGUGUUGUGGGUACAGUUCCAUUGGUAUACUUACAAGUAGCCAACUGCAGGCCUCAGAGCUGAAAGAAGUUACUAUUUGACCACUGGGCAUCGUAGUUGGGCAAUUCUUGGAGCUGUAUUCCUGAAAAGUGCCUUUGCUAAGCUUUGGAUGCAGCACUCUGGAGAAGACUGCUUUGGUCCUUCCAGCCCACAAGGGGAAGAACCCCUUGAACCCUUCAGUCCAUCCUGUUUACUCUGCUGUUAAAUUGUCAGAAGUUUGUUUGUUUGGGGGUUUUUUUUGAGAUGUUCCCCUUUCAACGGUUUAAGACAGUGAAUAUAGAUGCAGUGAAUUUCCUACAGAGAUUCUGUACAUGCAUUUACACUGAUUUUAAAUGAAAGCUGUAGCCCAAUCAAACUAAACCUUUGAAAUUACCGGAAGCAAAAGAAUAACAGCACUGGCAGCUUCAAACAUGUAUGUGGCCACCGCUGCACUCCAGAAGGAGCAGUUUUGCCCUCCACCACCAGCUGACAUUUAGUUUCGAGGUGCGAGGUCAGGCACUCUGUAUGAUAUCAUCACCCAGUUACCUUAAACUCACUGCAAGGUGGCACCUGUGUGCUGUCUCUUAUUUAUCUGCCCUCUAACCAUGUGGGCCUCCUCAGUUAGUGCACACUCUUAAAUCAUCAAGAGACUCUUUCCUGAGGCUUAUGAGCAAAUGCUUGGCCUCUUCUACCUGUCACACACAGUAUAAGAUGUGAGCCAUUUUUCAGAAGCUCCUCCAGGCUCAGUGCAAAUCCAUGUACCCAAUCAUCUCUUUUUUCUUUCCUUAGGAGUUCUGAUUAAUUGCUUCAAAUAACUCAUUGAUUGCCAAGGCAUUCCCCUAAAGUCAUUCCUCCUUUAACUACUACCCCACCUGGCCCUCCGCUCUGUCAGCACAAACUCAAUGUGUUUUCAUUAGUGCAAAGUUCCUUAAUGUCAACUCUGUGGGUCUAGGUUCCAGCUACAGAAUAAAUAAUUGAACCAGCAGUCUUUUAAGGGGAAG